GGCAACAGUUACAUUAAAAAAAAUAAAAAAAUACUGGAGACAAGCGCUAUGCGCAAACGGUGGGCAAAUGGGAUGCCUACGUGUAAAAUGAAAUGGCGCAGUUUGGACUUGGAUGACAUUCUGAUCAUUUGCGAUGGUCGCACUUCCUCUCAUGUAGUUGCAUUUUCUCACCUCUCCAAGAUCCAGAAGGAAACCCUAUAAACUCUUGCGAAAAAAUAUGACCAAAGGGAGAUGAGAGAAGGUCACCAAGCAGCAAAAUAGAGCAGGAAUGCAAGCGUGAUGCAAAGAGACGGAAGAUAUCUUUUGACCUUGAGGAAAGGGAGCAGUCAGCUUUUGCUCCCGACCCAUAUGCAAAAGAGUGAGAAGAAGAGGAGAGAAUUGCUAAGAAGUUGAGAGGAGAUUGCAAGAAUAAGAGCAAUGCAUGCAAGUAAAGGGGAAAAUACGACAUCGGCUACAAGUAGAGAGUUCCCAGGAUGAGGAAGGAGACGACGGGUACUGCUAGGCCUAGGGUGGAUAAGGAGAAGGUUCUUCAAGUUUCAUGGGAGAAGAUAGGUGAAGAUAACACAAUAGAGGGGUUGAGAGAGUUGUUUUCUAAGUUUGGUGAGGUGGAAGAUGUUGUCAUUAAAAUUUAAGAGUGCUAAGAAAAAGGGUUCAGCACUUGUUGUAAUGGAGAAUAAAUGUGUAUACAGUGAAAAGCUAGGUGGUGCUUUUGUUUGCUAUGCUAUACUUAAUAAAAAUAAAAAUAAUUAUACAAAUU